rnacentral:rRNA from 1 species
GGCUCAGGGCGAACGCUGGCGGCAGGCUCCAAACAUGCAAGUCUAGGGGGUGUAGCAAUACAUCACCGGCGGACGGGUGCGUAACAUGUGCGAAUAUACCUUUCGGUACGGAACAACUGAGGGAAACUUCAGCUAAUACCGUAUACGUCCUAACGGAGAAAGAUUUAUCGCCGAAGGAUUAGCCCGCGCUCGAUUAGCUAGUUGGUGAGGUAAUGGCUCACCAAGGCUACGAUCGAUAGCUGUUCUGAGAGGAAGAUCAGCCACACUGGGACUGAGACACGGCCCAGACUCCUACGGGAGGCAGCAGUGGG